GACGAACGCUGGCGGCGUGCCUAAUACAUGCAAGUCGAACGCUGAAGGAGGAGCUUGCUCUUCUGGAUGAGUUGCGAACGGGUGAGUAACGCGUAGGUAACCUGCCUGGUAGCGGGGGAUAACUAUUGGAAACGAUAGCUAAUACCGCAUAAGAGUAGAUGUUGCAUGACAUUUACUUAAAAGGUGCAAUUGCAUCACUACCAGAUGGACCUGCGUUGUAUUAGCUAGUUGGUGGGGUAACGGCUUACCAAGGCGACGAUACAUAGCCGACCUGAGAUGGUGAUCGGCCACACUGGGACUGAGACACGGCCCAGACUCCUAGGGGAGGCAGCAGUAGGGAAUCUUCGGCGAUGGACGGAAGUCUGACCGAGCAACGCCGCGUGAGUGAAGAAGGUUUUCGGAUCGUAAAGCUCUGUUGUAAGAGAAGAACGAGUGUGAGAGUGGAAAGUUCACACUGUGACGGUAUCUUACCAGAAAGGGACGGCUAACUACGUG
rnacentral:rRNA from 1 species